GAUGAACGCUGGCGGCGUGCUUAACACAUGCAAGUCGAACGGAAAGGCCAGUGCUUGCACUGGUACUCGAGUGGCGAACGGGUGAGUAACACGUGGGUGAUCUGCCCUGCACUUCGGGAUAAGCCUGGGAAACUGGGUCUAAUACCGGAUAGGACAAUGGUUUGGAUGCCGUUGUGGAAAGUUUUUUCGGUGUGGGAUGAGCUCGCGGCCUAUCAGCUUGUUGGUGGGGUAAUGGCCUACCAAGGCGUCGACGGGUAGCCGGCCUGAGAGGGUGUACGGCCACAUUGGGACUGAGAUACGGCCCAGACUCCUACGGGAGGCAGCAGUGGGGAAUAUUGCACAAUGGGCGCAAGCCUGAUGCAGCGACGCCGCGUGGGGGAUGACGGCCUUCGGGUUGUAAACUCCUUUCGCUAGGGACGAAGCGUAUUUGGGACGGUACCUGGAGAAGAAACACCGGCUAACUACGU
rnacentral:rRNA from 1 species